UACAGAGGUCUCAAGCGUUGUUCGGAUUCAUUGGGCGUAAAGGGUGCGUAGGCGGCGCGGUAAGUCGGGUGUGAAAUCUCGGAGCUUAACUCCGAAACUGCAUUCGAUACUGCCGUACUUGAGGACUGGAGAGGAGACUGGAAUUUACGGUGUAGCGGUGAAAUGCGUAGAUAUCGUAAGGAAGACCAGUGGCGAAGGCGGGUCUCUGGACAGUUCCUGACGCUGAGGACGAAGGCCAGGGGAGCAAACGGG
rnacentral:rRNA from 1 species